GGAGCACCUCUGUCGGUCUACGGUUCAAAUUCAAGCCGGCGCGCCUGAGGCUACGGCCAUUUUCUGCUGAACAAACUAAACCCCGCACAGAGUCUAUUGGCUUUGAACUUCAACUUGGCCUUCGACGUCCGGUACGGAAUCCGCGUUGCCCCACUCAAACUGGCAAACAAACUAAUACAUUUCACUACGGGAGAAGUGCCAAAACGCUUUGCAGACGAUCUUAAUCAUUAUGCGCUGGUGUAACAAAUAUACAGUAUGUCUGCAUUUUUAGCCUUUCCAACGAACGUUCCGCUUGGCUAAAAACCAACAAGAAAAUGAGUAGCCCAACUGCUGAGAAACAAAGGAGCAGAACAUCAAAAUACAGCUCUACGCUAUUAUCGUAAUUGGAUUUUACAAAGUGCACACAACUCGUGAUCAUUCUCGCCUUGCGUCUGUUGGAACAUGGACAAAUAUUGAUUAAAUUGAUUUGUUAACGUACCAUUUCAAAGCGAAACUGCCAACCCCCCAGAAAAGUUCUAGUUUAUGCAGCACCACGGUUCAGCGCCUGGUCAUCUCGUUGACGGGGUUCUAUUAUUAUUCCAUAUCCAUUUAUCCGCGAACAGAGGUAAUCCGUGGUCUUCCGAGGGGAGACUACACCGCACAGAGAUCAAUCAGAAACGUCCCACGCGAAGUCUGCAGCUUCAACCCCAGCAGAAUCCUCGCUACAAGGCCACUGAGUUUGGUGGAGUAAGCUGUCUUGGCACGCCAUCUGACCUUACCACAGGAAGGCUGUGCUGGAGCGAGCGGGAAAGACAUGAUCCCACCGUUCAAUGUGAAUUAAAGGGUUCCUGUAAAAAUCUACAGCUAAAAAGGUGUAUUUCCUAAAGACAGAGGAGUGAGAGCCGGGACUCGCGCUAUGACAUCAGCUGACAAUGAAAGUAGUAUUUCAAACCUCCAAACUAUGACAAGGGCCUUGCAUGUCAUCUUUACGCAAGUGAACAGGAUGCAUGCAAAAGCAUACAGAUAUGCUGAACUCAAUGGAAAAGUGAGUGAAGUGUAAUGUUUGACAUGAAUAAAGGUCUCCUGAAGAGGGCAGUACCA